CUACAGACGUGCUAGAGCCGGGUGGUAGGUGUGGGGGUGAAGGGGUUGCCGGAGUGUGUGGGGGUAAAUAGCUGGGAGGCGGCCAGGUAGGUCCGUUGGGAAAAAUCGAGGCUCAACCUCGAGACGCCGAUGGAAACCAUCUGGCUAGAGGCCGGAAGAGGAGAGUGGAAUUCCCGGUGUAGCGGUGAAAUGCGCAGAUAUCGGGAAGAACACCCGUGGCUAAGGCGGCUCUCUAGUACGGUACUGACGCUGAGACGCGAAAGCGGGGGGAGCGAACAGGAUUAGAUACCCGAGUAGUC
rnacentral:rRNA from 1 species